GGCUACAUCACAUUGAAAUACAAGUUCCCGUACGAUCGCCAGAGUUAAGCAACGUUUAGCCUGGUUAGUACCUUGAUGGGUGACCGCUUGGGAAUACAAGGUGCUGUAAG